CGAGAAGCCUCUGGAGACAGAGGUCUCUUUGGACACUUGUAUACAGGUGGUGCAUGGCUGUCGUCAGCUCGUGUCGUGAGAUGGUUGGGUUAACGUCCCGCAACGAGCGCAACCCUCGUCUUAUGUUGCCAGCACGUCAGUGGUGGGGACUCAUAAGAGACUGGCCGGGGUCAACGUCGGAGGAAGGUGGGGAUGACGUCAAGUCAUCAUGCCCCUUAUGCCUAGGGCUUCACGCAUGCUACAAUGGCCGGUACAAAGGGCUGCGAUACCGCAAGGUGGAGCGAAUCCCAAAAAGCCGGUCUCAGUUCGGAUUGGGGUCUGCAACUCGACCCCAUGAAGUCGGAGUCGCUAGUAAUCGCAGAUCAGCAACGCUGCGGUGAACUACGUUCCCGGGUCUGUACA
rnacentral:rRNA from 1 species